rnacentral:tRNA from 1 species
GACUCCAUAGCAUAAUUGGUUAAUGCACUACCCUUUUAAGGUAGGUUAUCUGGGUUCAAGUCCCAGUGGAGUCA